rnacentral:rRNA from 1 species
GACGUUACCUACACGAAGAAGCACCGGCUAACUCCGUGCCAGCAGCCGCGGUAAUACGGAGGGUGCGAGCGUUAAUCGGAAGUUACUGGGCGUAAAGACGCAUGCAGGCGGCCUGUUAAGUCAGAUGUGAAAGACCCGGGGCGUUAACCUACGGAAUUGCAUUUGUAAACUGGCAGGCUAGAGUCUUGUAGAGGGGGGUAGGAAUUUCAGGUGUAGCGGUGAAAUGCGUAGAGAUCUGAAGGAAUACCAGUGGCGAAGGCGGCCCCCCUGGACAAAGACUGACGCUCAGAUGCGAAAAGCGUGGGGAGCAAACAGGAUUAGAUACCCCUGGUAG